rnacentral:rRNA from 1 species
CCUACGGGUGGCAGCAGUGAGGAAUAUUGGUCAAUGGACGGAAGUCUGAACCAGCCAUGCCGCGUGCAGGAAGACGGCUCUAUGAGUUGUAAACUGCUUUUGUACAAGGGUAAAGCUGAAUACGUGUAUUCAGCUGAAAGUACUGUACGAAUAAGGAUCGGCCAACUCCGUGCCAGCAGCCGCGGUUAUUAGGGGGAACCAAGCGGUAUCCGGAUUUAUUGGGUUUAAAGGGUUCGGUGGCGGAUUGGCAAGUUAAGGGGGAAAUGUGCGGGCUUAACUCUGGAACUGCCUUUAAUACUGUUGAUCUAGAGAGUGGAUGCGGUAGGCGGAAUGUAUGGUGUAGCGGUGAAAUGCUUAGAGAUCAUACAGAACACCGAUUGCGAAGGCAGCUUACCAAUCUAUAUCUGACGUUGAGGCACGAAAGCGUGGGGAGCAAACAGGAUUAGAUACCCGUGUAGUC